rnacentral:lncRNA from 1 species
UGUUUGUCUUUUCCAUUUUUUUUGUUUUCCUUUUAUAUAUUAUUUAUUUCACUUGUUUGACAGAUAGAGGGCCAUGGGGGAGUGGUUGAGGCUUAUGCCUCCCAACCCCUAUGUCCUGAGUUCAAAUCAUGCACACCCCUUUUUUUGUUUUUUUCCAUUCUUUUUCUACUUUUGUUUUGAUUUCUUUUGGAAUUUUAUUUCAAAUAAAUUAUCAUUUUAUUUUUAUAAUUUUGUAGUAUGUAUUUCUUGCUAUUGACACUACGUUUAUAAUUUUAUUUUUUGUAUUUUUUUCCACUUUUGUUUCGACUACGGUUCAUUGUAAUUACGCAAUUUUUAUUGAUUAAUAAAGUGUGAUACACGUUGGAUUUUGCAUUAUUCCUUUGGCUUAUUUUCAUUGCUAAACAUUGGAUUUUUAUCCAUGGAUUCGACAUUUCAUGUCGUUAUGCCGCCUAUUUUUUAUCGAUUCAUUGAUUGUAUUUUGCCAUGUUAUGACCCUUUGC